rnacentral:rRNA from 1 species
AAUGAACGUUGGCGGCGUGGAUUAGGCAUGCAAGUCGAGCGCUCAUCAGCAAUGGUGGGAGCGGCGAACGGCGUAGUAAUGCAUCGGAACGUACCCUCUGGUCGGGGAUAGCUAUGGGAAACUGUAGGUAAUACCCGAUAAACUCUGCGGAGCAAAGGUGAGAUUCCGCCGGAGGAGCGGCUGAUGUGAUAUUAGCUUGUUGGUGGGGUAAAGGCCUACCAAGGCGAUGAUGUCUAGGGGGUGUGAGAGCAUGGCCCCCACGACCGGAACUGAGAUACUGUCCGGACACCUACGGGUGGCAG